UUUACCUAAGCAAGCCUGGGCAAUGGCGGGCGCCCCUCCGCCAGCCUCACUGCCGCCUUGCAGUUUGAUCUCAGACUGCUGUGCUAGCAAUCAGCGAGACUCCGUGGGCGUAGGACCCUCCGAGCCAGGUGCCGGAUAUAAUCUCGUGGUGCGCCGUUUUUUAAGCCCGUCCGAAAAGCGCAAUAUUCGGGUGGGAGUGACCCGAUUUUCCAGCCUGUGUCUCCCCUCCAGAGUGUAGGUCCCUGAGGGCAGUCACCUGAUCUGUCUCAGUCACUGCAGUGUCCCCAAACAGAGCACCGCCUCAGGCACACAGAGGGCAGUGGUGAGGACUAAAGGAGGCGAUGAGAAGAGAGUCCCCACAAGGAGUCUGGCACAGAGGAAGUUUCGACGUAUGCUGUCCAUUGCAACUUCGACUUAUGCUGCGUUUCUGUGUCGGAACAGUGGAAGACAUUCAACAAGCACUUUGUCUCAGAGGCUUAGUUACAAUUAAUUGAGCCUGAAAGACCAUAGACUUGAAAAAGCCCUCAAAGUGAUAAAGGUAAAAAGAAAAAUAAAAUGACAUCUAGCAGGCACUGAGGGCUCUACAACGUGUGGCUAGCCUGUAUUCAGCACCCUACAGUGUGCAGCCAGGCUGUGCUCAGCAUCCUACAGUGUGCAGCCAGGCUGUGCUCAGUACUCUACAGUGAGUAGCCAGCCUGUGCUCAGCACUCCGCAGUGAGUGGCCAGCCUGUGCUCAGCACUCUACAGUAUGUGGCCAAACUGUGCUCAGCACUCCACAGUGAGUGGCCAGCCUGUGGUCAGGACUCUACAGUGAGUGGCCAGUCUAUACUCUGCACUCUACAGUGAGUGGCCAGCCUGUACACAGCACUCCACAGUCGUCAUCUUUUCAUCAUAAAUCUAAUGGCCACUUAAUGAGGUAGACCUGUCCCAUGACUUGAACUGAUUUCAAAAACUCAAAACUCAUACUCUCUUGCAUUUGGCAACCAAAACACAACCCACUUCCUGGGACCUUCUGACAGCCAGGCCACGUUGAGCAAACACCGAGCCCUCUUCAGAGUUGGUCAGCAGCCAGGUCAGCAGCGACUGGCAAGGCGACUGCUUGCCAGGUCUCCUCCAGCAUGAGCUUGGGAUGGAGCUGAAUCCCUUUCAUGCACAAGCAGAAUUUGAAAAGGUGCGGGGCCACACUAGUACCUCUGCGUCUCCUGCCAGAGCCCACCAGCUUAUUUUGCUUCUUCAGAGUCUGUAAAGCAUCCUUCUGGAUGACGAAUGCCUUCCGAGGCUCCAGCCCACCAAGCCUUCCUCUAAGUUUCAGAUGCAGAGGCCACCUCGGAGAACUGUGAUUGUCUCCCUGCAUCUCCCCAGUGCCCCCGGAUGAGUGCCACCCUCCUCACCUGCUAUCACAAAGACAAGAAAGGCCAUUCAUAAUUUAAGUCAGCCCUUUCUUUCCUGCACGCCACCAACAUGAGUCAGAUGCUGGAGGAAAAAUUGAACUCUUUCUCCCAGGAUACACCAAAGAUCAAGCAGAAUCUCAUUAAGGCUCACUUCAAAGACUCGUCCUUUAUUUCCAUACAAACAAGUUUAAAUUAUCGUGUGUGAAUCUGCUGUUAGCAGGGACUCUGUUCCAUUAUGCAUGAUUCCUUACUGUUCAUAUCAUGAAUAAUGGGCAGUGCUCCGUUAGCGAUUUCCAGUAAUAUGCUAAACUUUGGGAGUGGUCAUGGUGUUAGGUUAAAGUUCUGGUGUUUGCCUAUUUUAUUUCUUACUCAAGCUAUAAUGGCCUGCUUCAUCAAAAUAGGUUUCACAGUCUUAUUGUAAUGAACACAGCAUAACACAUGUUGUGGCUAUGAUUUCCUUAUUAUUAUUAUUGAAUAUUUAUU
rnacentral:lncRNA from 1 species